UCAUGCCUUUAAAGAUGAAUGACAAGCAAUAGUUAAGCUAUUUUAGAUCGUUGAUCUAAUAGAACAUUCGACACAUGGUUGGCGAACAUGUGUGCGUUUGUUUUAAUUAUGAAUCGGUACGAAAUGUGCCAAGGAAGCGAAAAUAUUAUUCCUCCUUUAAAUGAGAUACAUUGUUAUUUUUUAUAAGGGCGGAGAUUAUUCAAUAAU
rnacentral:misc_RNA from 1 species